rnacentral:lncRNA from 1 species
AAAUAUGGUUAAGACUCGAAUGCAGAAAUUUGGUUGGUUGGAAGGCUAAUUAAGCCUCCAACUUGCUCAAAUAGAAUUACAAAAAGGCAAAAUUGUGUUUUUCACAGAGAUACAGUCCACUGGAAUCACCAACACUGGACAGCUGUUAGGAAUAUUUAGAGUCCUGAGAUAAUAAGGAAUCCAGGCAUCCUUAAACAGUCUUCUGUUGUCCUUUCUUCCCGAUCAGCGAUUUGUGGAUGUGUGGGAUGACACCACCACCAGCAAUGGUAGCUUUGAUCAGAGAAUCCAAUUCUUCAUCUCCACGUAUAGCAAGCUGCAAGUGACGAGGGGUGAUACGCUUUACCUUUAAGUCUUUUGACGCAUUUCCUGCCAACUCAAGUACCUCUGCGGUGAGGUACUCCAGGAUGGCUGCGCUGUACACAGCGGCGGUCGCGCCCACACGUCCGUGGCUGGUUGUCCUAGAUUUCAGGUGUCGAUGAAUACGGCCCACAGGGAACUGCAAGCCGGCUCGCUGCGAGCGGGAAACCGCCUUUGUCUUGGCCUUUCCGGAGUCCUUUCCAGCCUUACCGCCAGCCAUCUCGGACCGUGCUGAAGCUCCGACGAGCGAGGAAGAGACGAGGCCAGGCGGACGCUCAGCGAGAUCCCAGCGCCCACUCCUCCGUCGGACCGUGAUUCAAACUGCCGGUGUUUUGGUUAUUAUGUAAUGGGAAGAAUUUCUUUUCUGGUUCAAUCUAUUUGGAGUUCUGUAGGCUUCUUGUAUGUUUAUGGGUAUCUCUUUCUUUAGAUUAGAAAAGUUUUCUUCUAUAAUUUUGUUGAAGAUAUUUCCUGGCCCUUUAAAUUGGGAAUCUUCACUCUCUUCUAUACCUGUUAUCCUUAGGUUUGGUCUUCUCAUUGUGUUCUGGAUUUCCUGGAUGUUUUGGGUUAGGAGCUUUUUGCAUUUUGCAUUUUCUUUGACUGUUGUGUCAAUGUUUUCUAUGGUAUCUUCUGCACCUGAGAUUCUCUCUUCAAUCUGUUGUAUUCUGUUGGUGAUGCUUGCAUCUAUGACUCCUGAUCUCUCUCCUAGGUUUUCUAUCUCCAGUGUUAUCUCCCUUUGUGAUUUCUUUAUUGCUUCUAUUUCCAUUUUUAGAUCCUGGAUGGUUUUGUUUACUUUCUUCACCUGUUUGAUUGUGUUUUCCUGUAAUUCUUCAAGGGAUUUUUGUGUUUCCUCUUUAAGGUCUUACCUGUUUACCUGUGAUCUCUUGUAUUUCUUUAAGGGAAUUAUUUAUGUCCUUCUUAAAUUCCUCUAUCGUUGGGCUGGAGAGAUGGCUCAGCAUUUAAGAGCACUGACUGCUCUUCUGAAGGUUGUGAGUCUGAAGGUCGUGAGUUCAAAUCCCAGGAGCCACAUGAUGGCUCACAACCAUCCGUAAUAAGAUCUAAUGCCCUCUUCUGGGGUGCCUGAAGACAGCUACAGUAUACUUACAUAUAAUAAAUCAAUAAAUCUUUUUUAAAAAUUCCUCUAUCGUCAUCAUGAUAUGUGAUUUUAAAUCAGAGUCUUGUUUUUCUGGUGUGUUGGGGUAACCAAGGUUCACUGUGGUGGGAGAACUAGGUUCUGAUGAUGCCAAGCAGUCUUGGUUUCUGUUCCUUAUGUUCUUGUGAUUGCCUUUCGACAUCUGGUUAUCUCUGGUGUUAGCUGGUCUUGCUGUCUCUGACUUUGGCUUGUCCCUCCUGGGACAAUCUCCUGGGAGAUCAGUUCUUUCAGGGAGGAACUUGGGUAUGGAGAACUGUGGUACAGGGUCAGCUCUGGGGUGCAGACAGAGAUCAGAAGGAUCCUGUCCCAGGCUGAUCCUUGGUUCCUGUAUCCUGAUGACUCUGUGAGGGUUCCCCUUGGGCCAGGAAUUUGAAGAGAAGUGGUGGUCUUACCUGUGCUACAAAUGUGUAGGCACUCCUGGGAGACCAGCUCUCUCCUGACAGUGUUUAUUAUGUAUGUAUCUCUGUGGCACAGGAUCAGCUCUGGGCACAGAUGGAGACUGGAAGGCUCCUGUGCCAGGCAGCCCCUCGAUUCCUGUGUCCUGAGGGUUCCAGGUGGGUUCCUCUGAGCAGCAGUGGUGGUCCUACCUGCACUCACAGACCUGUGCGCACUCCUGGGAGGCUCCCUCCCUCCCAGCCCUAUUUGUGUAUGUAGCUCUGUGGCAGAGGAUCUGUUACUACAGGCAGAGACAAAACCAGAAGGCUUGAGAUUUUUUUAAUGGUAUGGAUGAUUCCCCUCUUCAUUCUCCUUCUUUUACCUCUCCUUGUCCAUUUUAAUGUGCUUGUUAAGACAUGAUGGCAUACUUUUAGCUGAAUACAGGAAUUUCCUUUGGAUGUAAUUCUUUAAAAAAAAAAGAUUUGUUUGUGUAUGUAUAUAGAUGUUUGUUGCAAGAUAUUGACCCACAUUGUGAGCCCUGAGAUUGCAUUAUGUACUUUAAAAGACUUGUUUCUAGUUGUGCUGUGGCUUAGCCUUAGCACACACUUUUAAUCCCUCUGGUGGGGAUACAGACAAGCCCUUUGUACACUCCUUUAAUCCUAAACAAUGAAGGUAAAGUUAGUUUGUAGAAGGAAGCACCCAUGUUUGAAAGUUAUAGACCAAAGUAAAGAAUCAGAGGAAGAUUUGGCAGAAUAGAGUAUGCCCAACUCUCAGGAGAAGUGAGAGGUAAGAGAGUCAACAUAAGAGGGAACAGC